rnacentral:lncRNA from 1 species
AGUUUACCCAUGGUUGAGUACCUGGUCCAUGCUAGGUAUGUAGCUGAGGGCCCAUUUCUGUUUCUUGAUAUGAAGUGCAUCUUAACCUCUAAGAAACCACUCCUGCAGUUCACAUCAG